GCUGGGCACGGUGGCUCGUGCCUGUAGUCCCAGCUACUCAGGAGGUUGAAGUGGGAGGAUCGCUUGAGCCCAGGAGUUCUGGGCUGUACUGUGCUAUGCCGACUGGGUGUCCGCACUAAGUUUGGCAUCAAUAUGGUGACCUCCCAGGAGCAGGUGAUCACCAGGUUGCCUAAGGAGGGGUGAACCGGCCCAGGUUGGAAACGGAGCAGGUCAAAACUCCCGUGCUGAUCAGUAGUGGGAUUGUGCCUGUGAAUAGCCACUGCACUCCAGCCUGGGCAAUAUAGUGAGAUCCCAUCUCA
rnacentral:SRP_RNA from 1 species